CCUACGGGAGGCAGCAGUGAGGAAUAUUGGUCAAUGGCCGGAAGGCUGAACCAGCCAUGCCGCGUGAAGGUCAGUGCCCUAUGGGCGUUAAACUUCUUUUAUAUGGGAAUAAAACAGGGUAUGCCUACCCUCUUUUAUUUACCAUAUGAAUAAGGAUCGGCUAACUCCGUGCCAGCAGCCGCGGUAAUACGGAGGAUCCGCGCGUUAUCCGGAUUUAUUGGGUUUAAAGGGAGCGUAGGUGGAUUGUUAAGUCAGUUGUGAAAGUUUGCGGCUCAACCGUAAAAUUGCAGUUGAAACUGGCAGUCUUGAGUACAGUAGAGGUGGGCGGAAUUCGUGGUGUAGCGGUGAAAUGCUUAGAUAUCACGAAGAACUCCGAUUGCGAAGGCAGCUCACUGGACUGCAACUGACACUGAUGCUCGAAAGUGUGGGUAUCAAACAGGAUUAGAUACCCGUGUAGUC
rnacentral:rRNA from 1 species